rnacentral:rRNA from 1 species
GGGAAUAUUGCACAAUGGAGGAAACUCUGAUGCAGUGACACCGCGUAUAGGAAGAAGGUUUUCGGAUUGUAAACUAUUUUAGACAGGGAAGAAAAAAGACAGUACCUGUAGAAUAAGCUCCGGCUAACUACGUGCCAGCAGCCGCGGUAAUACGUAGGGGGCAAGCGUUAUCCGGAUUUACUGGGUGUAAAGGGAGCGUAGACGGUGAGACAAGUCUGAAGUGAAAGCCCGGGGCUCAACCCCGGGACUGCUUUGGAAACUGCCUGACUGGAGUGCUGGAGAGGCAAGCGGAAUUCCUAGUGUAGCGGUGAAAUGCGUAGAUAUUAGGAAGAACACCAGUGGCGAAGGCGGCUUGCUGGACAGUAACUGACGUUGAGGCUCGAAAGCGUGGGGAGCAAACAG